rnacentral:rRNA from 1 species
AACGAACGCUGGCGGCAGGCUUAACACAUGCAAGUCGAGCGCCCCGCAAGGGGAGCGGCAGACGGGUGAGUAACGCGUGGGAAUCUACCCAUCUCUACGGAAUAACGCAUGGAAACGUGUGCUAAUACCGUAUACGUCCUUCGGGAGAAAGAAUUAUCGGAGAUGGAUGAGCCCGCGCUGGAUUGGCUAGUUGGUGGGGUAAAGGCCUACAAAGGCGACGAUCCAUAGCUGGUCUGAGAGGAUGAGCCGCCACACUGGGACUGAGACACGGCCCAGACUCCUACGGGAGGCAGCAGUGGGGAAUAUUGGACAAUGGGCGCAAGCCUGAUCCAGCCAUGCCGCGUGAGUGAUGAAGGCCCUAGGGUUGUAAAGCUCUUUCACCGGUGAAGAUAAUGACGAUAACCGGAGAAGAAGCCCCGGCUAACUUCGUGCCAGCCGCCGCCGUAAUAC